rnacentral:misc_RNA from 1 species
UUUCCGUAGGUGAACCUGCGGAAGGAUCAUUAUUGUAUAACCGAGGUGCGAGGGCUGUCGCUGACCCGAAAGGUCGUGCACGCCCGAGUGCCCUCACACACAUCCAACUCACCCCUAUGUGCACCACCGCGUGGGUCCCCCUUUGGCUUGUUCGGAGGGGGGCUUACGUUUUCACACAAACUUUGUAUGCAGUGUAGAAUGUAUUUUUUGUUUUUGCGAUCACGCAACCAAUACAACUUUCAACAACGGAUCUCUUGGCUCUC